UCAACGUUUAUUCAGAAAUGGCAACCGUCGGCAUGGGACGGAGGUUGCAACGGCUCAAAUGGACUACAGUUUGUGAAAGUUGGAAAAGUUCCUCGAAAAAGUUUGGUUUUCAGUGUUCACUUUCCAUGCCUCUAGCAAUUAAAGUGAUUUAGAAACAACAUGAAAAACUCAAAAUUUUUUGUUUCGUUAAACAGAUUAACGUCACGUGAUGUUGGCCAAUGGCGACUUGCAAGUUUUGUCUGCGCAUCAAGGCGACGAGAAUCAUUUGUAUCAUUGUCGAGUUCUCGUCCAGCCCAUCAGGCAAACAAUGACCAGUUUCACUGCUGGACGAAUCAUCCUCAGUCAAGAAACCAGGACAAAGAUGGCACAAGUCAUUGUAGAAACUGUGAAUCGAAUUCGAAGUUUGGCGUGGACGAGAUUCCGUUUUACCUUGUGUUUUUCAUGGAUAUCUUCCGCAUAAAAUCAAAUGGUACAAAAGUCUAACGAUUCAGUAUGGCAAUUUGUUGUUGCCACUGGUGACAUCAGCUGCCACGCAAGAGCAUCGUGAUGGAGUGCUGGGACUUGGGCGUCAUCGCCUCAUUGGUGGCACUUUACUCAUCGCUUCCGUCGUCACCGAAGAUCAGGGCCGUUACAUUUGAUUCGUCAACAGUUCCAUUGGAUUAGUCGAAUCACGUACCGAACUCAUUUUUCGUGUCAAAUUACAAGUCAGAAUCGUUGAACGUCGUCGUCGCCGCAUAGAAUGCACAGCACAUUUAAGUCACCGAUCCAGAAACGUCCGUCACCAUCACGUGUCAUUUCUCCGGCCGGUUGUCAGUUGGCUCAAAGAUGGCCAGCGCUUCUUGGUGGGUAAUAGUGGUCGUGUUUCUUCUUCAUCCGGCGACGACGGCUACACCGAUAUGGUCCAGUUAUCCAUUUCGUCCGUCCAACGUGAAGAUGAGGGAAUAUACCAAUGCCUGGCAUCCAAUGACGAAGGAGAUUGGGCCCAAGCAUCGGCCCAGCUGGCCAUUGGAGCAUUUCCUCCUCAUUUGAAAGAAACGUUCAGUCGGCAAGUUGUACAUCCGGGAAGUUCAGUCUCGUUGAAAUGUUUGGCCUCUGGCACUCCGCUGCCUCAUUUCACUUGGACGCUGGACGGGUUUCCGUUAUCGCCCGUUUCCGAACGAUAUUUCCUCGGCCAGCAGCAACAAACGGGUCACGACGAUCUUGUAGUGGCUCAUCUCAACAUAACCCACGUCCGAGUCGAAGACGGAGGCAAUUACAAAUGUGUAUCGGAGAAUCGAGUGGGUCGCGUAGAGCAUUCAGCCAAUUUGCAUAUUUACUUCAAUUCAAUGGCAGUUUGACGAUCGAUCCGUUGGAUAAGAGCAGCGACGCCGGUCUUUAUAGUUGCGAGGUGCGUGGCCAGAACGGACUCUCGGCUCGCCAGUCACUUCAACUCAACAUCCUCGCUUUGCGAAAAUAUUGACUCGGCGCCUUUUUCUUUUCCCCCUCCGCCCUGUAAACUUGCUCGGUCGCUGAGUAUACUCUUUGAUGAUGAGAAAGUCAACAGCGCUUUUCUAUCCGGUCUGGAAGCAGAAAAAAAUUUAAAAAAAGGAAGCAAUGAAAGCAAAUGAGACAGACCGACUAUAUCGAUCCAGCAGCCAGAAGCCAAUUUAAGUCUUUCCCCUUUUAUUUUUAUGAAAAACAAGAAAAAGGAGAUGAGUUAAGUGGGUAGGAAGGAUAAAUUUAGAAAUUUCUCGACGUUUUUUUUGUUGUUGCUUCCGGUCGCCGGAAUUUUGUUAAAAAACAAAACAAAAAACACGAAAAAAAAACGAUAUUGGAUACAGAUGCGCCUCAUAUAAUGGCAAUGAGCGAUUCGGCCAUGUUGAAUGCCGGCGAGCGAUUGGCUCUUCAAUGCGCCGUAGUUAAAGGUGGAUUGCCGUUGUUCGUCAGCUGGUCGAAAGAUGGCCAAGUGAUUGCACCGACAACUGCAACGACGACGACUAGCGUCCGUUUGGUGAACGAAUUCACAGCCACGUUGACGAUUGAAUCGUUGACUGGACAACAUGGUGGAUGUGGUGGAAAUAUUUAUCAGGCUUUAGAGCAGCAUUAGCCUUUGCUAUAUCUCCACAUCAUGUAAAUGGAAAAUCUCUGGAACUUCUUGUUGAGAAAUGAAGCCAUUGUGCAUAUUGCAUCAACUAAGGGCGAAAUGUUACCACAUAUAGGCCAAUGUUACAACUCACUUAUGGUGAUUGUCCAUUCACAUGAAGUCUGUAUGUUGGUACAGUUUAUCAACAGGCAUAAGAGGAUGUUCGGGCAAUAAUUGUGGGAUAGUUUAGGUAGAUUCUUUGCUGCGUCAUAGCUCGGGAGUCGUAACGGGCAAUAUCCUUGUGCAUUAAGUUGGUGAACUCUUGUGUUCCAUUGGGUAAUGCUAUCAAAUCUUAAUGUGCUAUUUGUGAAAGAUUUUAUUAUUCUGUAUGUUUUAAAGGAAAAUAUUUCAAAUUGAUUUAUUUGCAUGUUACGGAGUUGUAUUUUUCUGAUCUGUGGAGCCUGACAUUUUCCACAAUUUCUAUCGGCGGACAAAAUGUCUUUUAGGAUUGGUAGCAGCUUACAAAGCAGUAGGUUCCAACAUCAUCUAACGUCUGCUUUAGUAAUGGCAGGGAUGUGAAUGAUAAUUUGUGAAAUCAAACAACUUAAGCAGGUGCCUAGCUCAACAACUCCUAUGAAAUCUAGAUUGGUGGUGGUAGUUCUAGGGCGCCUGUUCAGGCAACAGUUUCGUUUUUUAAUCCGCCAAGGAUUUAUGCGUUAUUGCGUCUACUGUGUAGCCUGAGUAGCAUACGCAAGGGGGCGUUUAUCUACAUUCCUGAUCACCAAGCAGUUACAAAUAUGUUCUACACUGAUAAGCAUCCGAGGCAAAGGGCGAGCUGAACUAGUCUAUUGCCCCUCAAUUCCAGAGGGCACUAGUUUACAGCAACUCGGGCUCACCCUUUGGGUAAUUUGAGAUACUUUUCUGGACGGUUCAGAAUCUUAUUAUUGGCCAAAAUUUGAUACGAGAUUAAUUGAUACUUAGUCCUGUCAGACCUCAAAUUCUACGGUUUAUAAUUCUUGUUCUAUGACCGAUUUUAUUAUUAUUUUUUUUAUACAGAGAGUGGAUUCUCAUUUCUUCUUCAUACCAGCGAGCAGAUUUGAGGUUUAAAAUUGUUUUAGGUUGUUAAGCAAGUCUGACUUUCUACGAUGUACAUGGCCGCCAAACUUUGUCGUUAUGUCUCACUGUUAAUCGGUAAUAAAAACGUCGAAUUAUUGACGAUACGUUUGUCAAAAUGGCAAAUACAACGCCUAACGAUUUAAAUCUAACUUGGGAUAAUCUACUUCUCGGACAAGGUACUUUGAGACCGGAUCUAAUUGAGUCCGCUUUCCAUAUGGCUUCUUCGCGCACGGUUGCCAUGAAGACUCGUCAUAACGAUUCCGGAAAUGGUUCGUCAAUUUCGCAUUCACGGCCGUGUAGUAGAACCUAUUAAAGACUUCCUUAAAGAUGAAGUAAGAGCCUUAGGUCGUGAGCUGGGUUUGCCCGCACAAUUACUGGAACGUUACCCGUUUCCUGGUCCCGGCUUGUCAAUUUGAAUCAUUUACGCCGAAGAGCCGUUCUUGGAAGCUAAUUUCGAUGAGACGCAAGUGAUGAUUCGUUCGAUGGUCCAUUAUGCCAACAUAGCAGCCAAGGAACAUGCCUUGCUCAAUCGGAUUGAAAUCGUGACGUCGGAAGAAGAACGUCUUGUUCUGGGAGAACUGUCUAGUCGCAACCAGUAUGUUGCCACGCUACUGCCUAUUCGCACUGUCGGUGUUCAGGUACAGGAGGUUGCAGAAAAAUGUGUCGGGUAUGGCAAACAAAGCAUAGGGAAAACCGCCACAUUUUUCUGCAAUAUACUGUACAACAGAUUCGCAAUUUAGACGUUGUCGUAAUAAUGCCGCGAUCGUAAUCAGCUCUUAUUCAAGGUAGAUGAUAGGUGCCACCGUAUCUACGCCAAGGUUUUUUUCUCUUGUCUAGAUCUUUUAAUGGCCAGUGGGUCCUUGUGAUCAUGGCCAAUGGCUUGAGCCGGAUACCAACGACUAUGGCACCUGUCGCCCUUCGCCUUGCCCAGUAAGCAAAUGCAACGGUCGCCAGAUCUACUGGAAGUCAACACUAAAUUCUGAAGGUAGCUGUUAUAAAUCGUUCACACGUGGGCCUUGCAGGCGAAGUAGCUAUUUCCUCGUUGAAGAAUAUGGCACUCGAAGAGGUCGAUUUGUUUCUCAAUUUGGAUCAUCCUAUGAAUCCUAUGUCCUUCCGUCACGCUAUCCCAGGAUGAGGAACCCUUACGACAUGAUGUACUCCAACAACGUGAUGAGCCCAUGAUCGAAAUUUGGCAUGUAUCCGCCAUUUGGCAUGCAGGAAGAUUAGCGGAGACGACUAUCCUGACAUUCCUAGUUUCGAUUACUGAACUAGAAACAGUUUUACAGAACCAUUCACAUGGUUUUGUCUCUAUUAUUUCAUUUUAAAAAUGCGAUUGCAAAUUUUCUAUUGUGACGUAUGGCGGAUAAAAAACAACCUUAAUUAGUUUUAAUGCAUGAAUUCGUUUGCCAAUAAUAUGUGUAUGAAGAAAAUGUUUUCACUUUGAAACAGAGUCAUGGAACCCAUCGGUUUCCAUGACUCUGCUUUGAAAGUUUGAACAGGGAUUUCUGUUUUACCUUUCUGCGAUGCGGCAACACAGCAUUGCAUGUCGAUCUGCGAACGUUUGACAACUCGCUGGUAUUGCAACAGGUUAAUAGUUUUGUGUCAAGUAAAUUUCAAGUGCGAGUAACUGCUGGAAGAUUGCAAGCGAAAUCUGCAUGUGUCGUGUCAUUGUUCUAAGUGUUGGAGACUUUUUUCGUUUUGAUUAGGCAUUCAUGUUUGGGAACAAUACCUGAAGUUGGAUAUCGCCUAGUGAUAUUUACAUAUUAAGUCCUAUUUUAAGACACUUGGGGCGAUACGUUUCGCAACAAAGAUCUAUACAGUACUCAAAAGAUGACCCACAAGCACUACGCCACCACGAUUGAGACAAGGUAAAACACAAAACUAUAAAGCGCCAUUUAUCAAUAAUGAAUGAAUUUCCUCAUUCUAACAAUAAUUUAAGAAAAUGUAAAUGUAUACUUAGCUGUGGUAAUUAUUUCGUUUACAUCGACUACACUUCAAUAAUUUACAAGUGGGAAAGUGUUGCCUAUAAGCAACAAGAAGGUAUUGUGCAUGUUUAUGAGCGAAUCAUGGCUUAAUGGGUGAGCAUCGGAUUGUACCGCUGGAUGUUUGUGGAUCAAAUACCAUCAAAGUUUUCUUCACCAUGACAUACUUGGAAUUUAUAUGCCAAUACGUGUAAUCCAUCAAGGACACUGAAUUUCACAACACCUGAAUGGGAUUCGAACCCAAUGUAUUGAGAAUUCCAGUCCACCGCUCUACCAUUGAGCUAUGAGACAUAUUACUGAGAAAUCUAAGUCUUCAACACAUUAAGGUAACUGUGCAAAGUUGUACAUAGGGGAUCAAAUAUCAAUGGGGGGGAUAUAGGGGGGGUUGCCAGGAAGGUAUCGCAUCCGCCUAGCAGCUCCAAGGUCCGUGGUUCGAUUCCACGGAGGUUCCCGAUGUCCUGGGCUUCCAAUCUUCCACGUCUGCCAGUCGGGUCGAGAAACUUCCCCAUUACGAAGUAAUGGGACGGAUAUUUUGGCAAUGUUUAAUAUAAUAUCCAAUAAAAAAUCUUAAUAAAUUGUUUA